GAAGGAGGAGGAGAAGGAGGAAAACCCCAGAAGAUCACUGAGGUCACUUCCUUCGUUCACAAAGCCACACCCCUUCCAAUUGGAACCUCAUAUAAACAAGACUCUCACUGGAAGUCGGCAUUAAUUUGUGGACCAGCUUCUGAGGCCAGUGGAGCUCCAAACCUCUAAAGACUUUUUACACGCCAUCACUUUACUUUUGGAAGGCUUUCCUGAACAAGGCUAACACUGGGGUUACGAAGGUCACGGAGUCUAUUGUCACGAGAAACGACACUAGAGAAAAAGUGUCCACAGUUU